GAAAAGAGUGAGAGAAAGAAGAAGAGAAGGAGAAAAGAAGAAGAGAGAAAACAACCAAAACAUUAACAACUCAAGAAAAGAGAAAGGAAAAGUGCACUUUGCUAGAAGUCUCUGUAGAAGGAGUUGAGGGUACCAUCAUUUUCUCCAUUUUUGGAAAUCAAGAGGUAAGAAAGGCUCAGACCACAUGUUGAAGAAAUGACGCGUGUCAGUUUACACUAUAGUCUGCUUAUAGUUUAUGGGGAAUUAUUUUGAACCAUGGAUGUGUUAUGUACUCCAUAUUUCUAUGUUUUUCUUUGAAUGUUUAGUAUGUGUAUGAAUACAUUUUCAUGACUUUGUGUCGGGAUUGUAUUAAUCAUCUCUUUUGUCGAA